rnacentral:lncRNA from 1 species
GAUUUUUCUUUAUAUUAUGUGCAGUAAGGCUUAAUUUAAGCUAUAUUAGUAAUACCCAUAUUUACUGAAGCAUCCCAAAUAAUUAGAAAACUCCUAAAUGAAAUCAAAUAUGUAAAGUUCUCUAAGAGGCCUAGCAUCUCUAAAUCUCCAUUUAAAAAAAUUUAAUUGACACUUUUACUUACUUGCUAAAAUUGUCCUGUUAACUCCAUCUGUUGUAGUAGUUCUUGAGUUCCACUGAAAAAUUAAUUUUCAACACUCCAUAAACCAUUUAUUCUAAAUUUGGGUUUUAAGCACA